UGGGGAAUAUUGGACAAUGGGCGAAAGCCUGAUCCAGCCAUGCCGCGUGUGUGAAGAAGGUCUUCGGAUUGUAAAGCACUUUAAGGUGGGAGGAAGGGCAGUAAGCGAAUACCUUGCUGUUUUGACGUUACCGACAGAAUAAGCACCGGCUAACUCUGUGCCAGCAGCCGUGGUAAUACAGAGGGUGCAAGCGUUAAUCGGAAUUACUGGGCGUAAAGCGCGCGUAGGUGGUUCGUUAAGUUGCAGGUGAAAGCCCCGGGCUCAACCUGGGAACUGCAGCCAAAACUGGCGGGCUAGAGUAGGGCAGAGGGUGGUGGAAUUUCCUGUGUAUCGGUGAAAUGCGUAGAUAUAGGAAGGAACACCCGUGGCGAAGGCGACCACCUGGGCUCAUACUGACACUGAGGUGCGAAAGCGUGGGGAGCAAACAGG
rnacentral:rRNA from 1 species